CGGGGCGUGGCGCAGUUUGGCAAGCGCGCUUGCUUUGGGAGCAAGAGGUCGUGAGUUCAAAUCUCACCGCCCCGA
rnacentral:tRNA from 1 species